UGCAAGUCGAGCGGAUGAGAAGAGCUUGCUCUUCGAUUCAGCGGCGGACGGGUGAGUAAUACCUAGGAAUCUGCCUGGUAGUGGGGGACAACGUUUCGAAAGGAACGCUAAUACCGCAUACGUCCUACGGGAGAAAGCAGGGGACCUUCGGGCCUUGCGCUAUCAGAUGAGCCUAGGUCGGAUUAGCUAGUUGGUGAGGUAAUGGCUCACCAAGGCUACGAUCCGUAACUGGUCUGAGAGGAUGAUCAGUCACACUGGAACUGAGACACGGUCCAGACUCCUACGGGAGGCAGCAGUGGGGAAUAUUGGACAAUGGGCGAAAGCCUGAUCCAGCCAUGCCGCGUGUGUGAAGAAGGUCUUCGGAUUGUAAAGCACUUUAAGUUGGGAGGAAGGGCAGUAAGCGAAUACCUUGCUGUUUUGACGUUACCGACAGAAUAAGCACCGGCUAACUCUGUGCCAGCAGCCGCGGUAAUACAGAGGGUGCAAGCGUUAAUCGGAAUUACUGGGCGUAAAGCGCGCGUAGGUGGUUCGUUAAGUUGGAUGUGAAAUCCCCGGGCUCAACCUGGGAACUGCAUCCAAAACUGGCGAGCUAGAGUAGGGCAGAGGGUGGUGGAACUUCCUGUGUAGCGGUGAAAUGCGUAGAUAUAGGAAGGAACACCAGUGGCGAANGCGACCACCUGGNCUCAUACUGACACUGANGUGCGAAAGCGUGGGGAGCAAACAGGAUUAGAUACCCUGGUAGUCCACGCCGUAAACGAUGUCAACUAGCCGUUGGAAUCCUUGAGAUUUUAGUGGCGCAGCUAACGCAUUAAGUUGACCGCCUGGGGAGUACNGCCGCANGGUNAAAACUCAAAUGAAUUGANGGGGGCNCGCAC
rnacentral:rRNA from 1 species